GACGAACGCUGGCGGCAUGCCUAAUACAUGCAAGUCGAGCGAACGGAUGAAGUGCUUGCACUUCUGACGUUAGCGGCGAACGGGUGAGUAACACGUAAGGAAUCUACCUAUAAGCGGGGGAUAACAUUCGGAAACGGGUGCUAAUACCGCAUAAUAUCUUCUUCCGCAUGGAAGAAGAUUGAAAGACGGCUCUGCUGGCACUUAUAGAUGACCUUGCGGUGCAUUAGUUAGUUGGUGGGUUAACGGCCUACCAAGACGAUGAUGCAUAGCCGACCUGAGAGGGUGAUCGGCCACAUUGGGACUGAGACACGGCCCAAACUCCUACGGGAGGCAGCAGUAGGGAAUCUUCCGCAAUGGGCGAAAGCCUGACGGAGCAAUGCCGCGUGAGUGAAGAAGGCCUUCGGGUCGUAAAACUCUGUUAUAAGAGAAGAACAAAUUGUAGAGUAACCGCUACAGUCUUGACGGUAUCUUAUCAGAAAGCCACGGCUAACUACGUGCCAGCCGCCGCAGUAA
rnacentral:rRNA from 1 species